UCCCUGGUGGCUCAGUGGUAAAGAAUCUGCCUGCCAUGCAGGAGACUUGCAGGAUACGCGGGUUUGAUCCCUGAUCAGGGAA
rnacentral:tRNA from 1 species